rnacentral:rRNA from 1 species
GACGAACGCUGGCGGCGUGCUUAACACAUGCAAGUCGAACGGAAAGGCCCUGCUUUUGUGGGGUGCUCGAGUGGCGAACGGGUGAGUAACACGUGAGUAACCUGCCCUUGACUUUGGGAUAACUUCAGGAAACUGGGGCUAAUACCGGAUAGGAGCUCCUGCUGCAUGGUGGGGGUUGGAAAGUUUCGGCGGUUGGGGAUGGACUCGCGGCUUAUCAGCUUGUUGGUGGGGUAGUGGCUUACCAAGGCUUUGGCGGGUAGCCGGCCUGAGAGGGUGACCGGCCACAGUGGGACUGAGAUACGGGCCAGACUCCUACGGGAGGCAGCAGUGGGGAAUAUUGCACAAUGGGCGGAAGCCUGAUGGAGCAACGCCGCGUGCGGGAUGACGGCCGUCGGGUUGUAAACCGCUUUCGCCUGUGACGAAGCGUGAGUGACGGUAAUGGGUAAAGAAGCACCGGCUAACUACGUG